UGGCAGUGAGACUGACUGCGUCGGGGUUGAGACUGGGUGGAUGAGGCUCACCCCGGCGGGGAGAAGGGACGAGGAGGGGCGGACAGCGGAAGGUCCGGGAGUGUCCGCCAUAAAGUCGUUUGAGGUGACCGUUGCGUAAUUGUGAGUCUGUGAGAGAAGAUGUGAAGUAUGGCCUCGUCCCGGUCAUCUGGGCGUGCGGGUCCCGGGUUUUGAUCGCGCGUUUGUGUAGUUUUAACUUCUAGUCAUGGCGAAUGAUCGCAGGAGAGCACAGACUGGACCCUGCUACGAUCUCUCUUGGAGUGGAUCAGACUGAUGAUCACCAACAACCAACUCAUUCCCGGAUAAGGAAGAAGAGAGUGUCACCUACUUCAGUGUGGUUUCAACCCUACUUCUGCAUCUUAAAGACACUGUAUGGUUUCAGCAUGUACAACGUUGGACACUGUGCAGGAUGAUGCCACUUCAUCUUGGAUGCUAAUCUGCCAUGUUGACUUCUGAUUAACCCCAGGCCCAGGAAUGCCUCAAGAUUUCUACUUUACUUACUGUUGCUUGUGUAAGCCAAGACAACCUUGAUGUUAUCAUAAACAUGUACUUACCUAAGUCCUGUCCUUUGGCAAAUUAUGGGCUAUGAGACACAGCAUUCUUGCCUUUCCCUGAGGGGUCAAUUUCAGCGAUCCUACACAUUCCUUCUGAAGCACUUAUGCUCUUUCUAUAUGGUAUGUAAGCUCUCGGUCUGGGGAGUAACAGUGCAGAGAUCUACCUGUCUUGUUGCCACAUGUUUCUAAACUUUCCAAUAAAUCACCUUCUACUGACAA
rnacentral:lncRNA from 1 species